CCUACGGGCGGCAGCAGUGGGGAAUAUUGGACAAUGGGGGGAACCCUGAUCCAGCCAUGCCGCGUGUGUGAAGAAGGCCCUCGGGUUGUAAAGCACUUUCAGUGAGGAAGAACGCCUGGUGGUUAAUACCCAUCAGGAAAGACAUCACUCACAGAAGAAGCACCGGCUAACUCCGUGCCAGCAGCCGCGGUAAUACGGAGGGUGCGAGCGUUAAUCGGAAUUACUGGGCGUAAAGCGCGCGUAGGUGGCUUGAUAAGCCGGUUGUGAAAGCCCCGGGCGCAACCUGGGAACGGCAUCCGGAACUGUCAAGCUAGAGUGCAGGAGAGGAAGGUAGAAUUCCCGGUGUAGCGGUGAAAUGCGUAGAGAUCGGGAGGAAUACCAGUGGCGAAGGCGGCCUUCUGGACUGACACUGACACUGAGGUGCGAAAGCGUGGGUAGCAAACAGGAUUAGAUACCCUUGUAGUC
rnacentral:rRNA from 1 species